rnacentral:rRNA from 1 species
UACGGGGGGGGCAAGCGUUGUUCGGAAUUACUGGGCGUAAAGGGCUUGUAGGUGGCCAACUAAGUCAGACGUGAAAUCCCACGGCUUAACCGAGGAACUGCGUCUGAUACUGGAUGGCUUGAGUGUGGGAGAGGGAUGCGGAAUUCCAGGUGUAGCGGUGAAAUGCGUAGAUAUCUGGAGGAACACCGGUGGCGAAGGCGGCGACCUGGUCCGAUACUGACGCUGAGGCGCGAAAGCGUGGGGAGCAAACAGG